rnacentral:rRNA from 1 species
GAUGAACGCUGGCGGCGUGCUUAAUACAUGCAAGUCGAACGAAUGGAUGUCUAGCUUGCUAGACUGAAGUUAGUGGCGAACGGGUGAGUAAUACAUAGGCAAUCUGCCCUGAAGUGUGGGAUAGCUAUUGGAAACGAUAAUUAAUACCGCAUAGGUAGUAAGAAGGCAUCUUCCUACUAUUAAAGAUGCGUUUGCAUCGCUGCAGGAUGAGCUUAUGGUGUAUUAGCUAGUUGGUGAGAUAAAAGCCCACCAAGGCUAUGAUACAUAGCUGGUCUGAGAGGAUGGAACAGCCACAUUGGGACUGAGACACGGCCCAGACUCCUACGGGAGGCAGCAGUAAGGAAUCUUCCACAAUGGGUGAAAACCUGAUGGAGCAAUGCCGCGUGAAUGAAGAAGGUCUUCGGAUCGUAAAGUUCUGUUAUUAGAGAAGAACAAGUCAAGGAGUAACUGUCUUGACUUUGACGGUACCUAACC